rnacentral:tRNA from 1 species
GUGUAUGUGGCCCAGUGGUAAAGCACUUGCAUAGCAUGAAUGAGGUCUUGGGUUUGAUCCUCAGGACUACAUACACA